rnacentral:tRNA from 1 species
GUCAAGAUAGUUUAAAAUUAAAACAUAGCCCUGAAGAUGCUAAAAUGGUAUAUAUUACCUCCUGACACC